CAAUCAAUUUAGUAGGUGUAUGGGAUCUAUUUACUAUGAUACUCUAUAUAUCAUAGUCAAGUGCUUGAAUAAAAAUUUUCAUCUGAGCUUUCCAAUAGGUGUAGUUUGAUCCAUUGAAAAGUGAAGGUCGGUUUGUGGAUUGCCUCUCGACUAUUGAUGUACCAAAUUGGGCUGUCAUUGAUCUUUGACUCUUGAUGGUUAAAUCAAGCAAGGGCUAGAGCACCAAACUUUGAUACCACUUGUUGCCCAGAUAUGGAGCCCAAGAGGGG
rnacentral:lncRNA from 1 species